UCUCUCGCUCUCAUAAGUCAUAAUUCGCUCCUCACACAAAAACCCAAAAUCGACGAAAGCUGAAAAAACCAACCCCAAACCCUAGAUUUCCCAAUGUCCGGCGACGACCAUGAUUCGCGUCGCAAGCACCGCCGCGAUCAUUCCGACGACGACGCCGAGAAGUCUUCCAAGCGCCACAAGCACCGUCACCACCACCGCCACCACCGUCACCGCCACAGCAGCAAGAAGCGCGAAGAAGAGAGCAAGGCGGCCGCGGGUGAGGAUAUCGAAGCUCCUCCUCCUCCGCCGCCUGUUAUGUUGUCUCCUUCCAAUAGUCCUCCUUCUCGGCCGGCUGAGGACGUUGAGGAAGGUGAAAUUCUUGAGGACGGUGCCGGUGGCCGCGACGACGGCGUUUUGGAAACGAAAGCGGACUCUGGUGCCGAGUCUGGUGAAAUUGAAGCUCCUGGAGUUCGCGAACGUUCUGAUAAGCGAAAUCUGGGACUUUAUAGUGACAGUACCAUGGAUAAGAGCUCAAAGACCUUGGGCAAAGAACUUCGUCGUGAUGAUGAUCCCAGGAGUCCUAUUGGGGGUAAGUCUCAUAGUGAGGCCGGCUUGCCUCAAAAUUCUAGUGCCGAGCCUCGCGAAGAAUCAGUUUCCAGAGUUGACCUUGAGGAUCAUGCCAAUGGGAAUUUAGAGAAGAGGCGGCAUCUGGUAUCUGGGUCCCCUUCUAAAGGAGGGGGUCAUCGAAAGAAAUACUAUAGUGAAAAUGUGGAUGAUGAUAGAAGCAAAUUAGCUAAUAAAGAAAAGUCACCCUAUAGAAGUAGUGGUGACAGGUAUGGUGAAGUGUUGCGUGGCAGGAGCAGAUCAGGGUCACAUGAUCAUGUGAGAGAGAGAUCUCGUUCCCGUAGUAUAGUUGAAGAGGAGGCACCAUCUAGAAGAAGAUCUCAUUCUCGCAGUAUGUUAGAAGAGGAAGCUCUUUCUAAAAGGAGACGUUAUCAUGAUCGAGAAAUCUCAGUAUAUGCCGAGAAAAGCAAGGCCGCACACAACUCUGAUGAUGAAGGUAUGGUGAGGGAUGAUGAUGAAAGGGAACACAGUAUUAGUUAUAGCAGAUACUCUGGAUUAGAUCGCAGUCGAGAGAGAGAGAGGAGUAGGGAGAGGGAGGUGGACAGGGUUCGGAGAAGGGAGAAAGAACUAGAGAGGAACAGGGGCAGGGAUCGGAGAAGGGAGAAAGAAAGAGAAAGGAGUAGUGACAGGGAUUUGUUUAGGGACAGGAAAAGGGGAAUUGGACGUGGUGAUAGCACUGAAAGGGUGGUUGAUACGGAACGUAGAAGGGAAGAGCGACAUAGAAGCAGGGACAGGACAAGGGAGGAUGAUGUUGAUAGGAGCAGGGGCAGGGGCAAGUCUGCUGACAGAGAGAGAGAUAGAGUUAUGGAGAGGGAUCGGGAUAGGGAUAGGGACAGAGUAACAGACCGGAAAUGGGAGAGGCGGGAUGAUAGAUAUAGGGACAAGGGUCGAGAUAUGGAGAGGGAGAGAAAUGAAACUGAAAGUGGAUAUGGAACUCGAGACAAGCAUAAUCAUUCUGGUCAAUCAAGGUAUGAAGAAAAAGAAUAUAACCAGGAUGGUUCAACAAAAUCUGAUCAAGCAGAAGUUCAGCUAGAAAGAGAUGAAGAUGAACAAGGAGAUGAUGAAGAGAUGGUCAGUUUGCAAGUUGCUGAUCAGGAAGAGGAAGAUCUUAACAGAAUUAAGGAGGAAAGUAGGAGGAGAAAGCAAGCAAUCUUGGAAAAAUAUAAAAGUCAGCCGUCGCAGUCCCAGCAAAAGACCGACAUACAAAUUGAGUCACAGUUACAGCAACCCACUCAAUUAGAGGGUCAAAAAGGUCAUCUGGAUCAAUCAACAGGGGUUGCCAAAUCCAGAGCAGAAGUUGAUGGUGCUAGGAGUUCUGGAGGAGUAUAUAUGGCUGAAGCAUUUUCUACUACAGCUCGUCAGAAUGGUGCCCCAGGGCUUGGAGAGGGUACUCCAAAGAGUGAAAGCUCUGGUGGCUCAGAACCCAAAAAAGAAAGAGCUGAUGGUAUUUUAUGCGAUGAUAUCUUUGGUGAGACCCCAACUGGAGUUCGAAAAUUGGACAAAGGAGAUGCUGUACGAAUUGAAAGGAGUGGUCUCCGUGACAACUGGGAUGAUGCAGAAGGGUACUACAGCUACCGGUUUGGGGAGUUACUUGAUGGUCGAUAUGAGAUUACUGCUGCUCAUGGAAAAGGCGUGUUUUCAACUGUUGUUCGUGCAAAGAACCUUAAGGUUGGUAAUGGUGAACCAGAAGAAGUGGCAAUUAAGAUUAUUCGUAGCAAUGAUACUAUGUACAAGGCUGGUAUGACUGAGUUGGCCAUAUUGAAGAAAUUAGUAGGUCAAGAUCCAGACAAUAAGCGCUAUUGUGUUCGUUUUCUAUCAAGUUUCAAGUAUCGAAAUCAUCUUUGUUUAGUUUUUGAAUCUCUGCAUAUGAAUCUUCGUGAGCUUUUAAAGAAGUUUGGACGCAAUAUUGGUCUGAAUCUAACUGCGGUGAGAGUAUAUGCUAAGCAACUCUUGAUUGCAUUGAAGCAUCUCAAAAACUGUGGUGUUCUUCAUUGUGAUAUAAAGCCAGAUAACAUGCUGGUAAAUGAAGCAAAAAACGUUCUGAAGCUUUGUGAUUUUGGUAACGCCAUGUUUGCUGGCAAGAAUGAAGUUACACCGUACCUUGUGAGCCGAUUUUAUCGGGCCCCUGAAAUAAUUCUUGGCUUGCCUUAUGAUCAUCCACUGGAUAUCUGGUCUGUUGGUUGCUGUUUGUUCGAACUUUAUACUGGAAAAGUUCUUUUUCCUGGUGCUACGAACAAUGAUAUGCUUCGUCUUCACAUGGAAUUGAAAGGCCCUUUCCCUAAGAAGAUGCUUCGGAAGGGAGCAUUUACUUAUCAAAAUUUCGAUCAGGAUCUGAACUUCCAUGCCACAGAAGAUGAUCCUGUUACAAAAAAGGUUAUUAAACGCGUGAUUCUCAACAUAAAGCCAAAAGAUAUCGGAUCAAUGAUCGCAGGUUCUCCUGGCGAGGAUCCAGAUCCCAAGAUAUUAGCUGAUUUUAAAGAUCUUUUAGAUAAAAUGUUUGUGCUGGAUCCAGACAAGAGGUUGACAGUAUCACAAGGUUUGAAUCAUCCAUUCAUCACUGGCAAGUGAACCGUGUUGCUGAUUUUCUGACUCCAGAAUUCUUGUUCCGCUAGAUGUUUGUACAUUUUGACCUAAUUCAUAUUCAGUUUCUAAUCAUUGGGCAUUAUCUCUCUUCUAUGUGGUGGCAUGAGAGCUUUUGACACAGUUUGGCAUGGUUGAAGGGGGGAUAUUUGGUCAGGAGUACUCAUUACUGGCUGGUUCUUUCAGUGGAGUGUACUGUUUCUAUUGUAAGACAACUAGCCGAAGGCGUUUUUCCCCUUGAUAUCUGCCACUGCUUUGAGGCAACCCUCCAGUGCUUAGAUGCUUAAAAAGGAAACCAGGAGAAGGUACCUUAGUUUGUUUAUUAGGAGACUAUUGUGAGGGACUUGGAAGUAGUUGUCAUUAUGCUGCAUGUUUUUUCUUUCUGUUCCUAGAUAAGAGCUACUGGCUUACCUUGUAGUUUUCUUUUUGCAAAUUUGUUGUCCUAGAUCCCUUUUUUUUUUGUUCUAUUCUUUUGGUUUGUGCUUUUGGUUGGCUUGCGAUAUUGUGAGAUAUACUUUUCAUCGUUCAAUUGUUACUCACUGUCCGAAACAUCUUUUUCUUGUCCACAUUUUAAAAAUGCCUUGGUAUUCUGAACCAUGCUUUGAUUUGGUGAAUUAUACUACUGAAUGUUUUUUUUCUUUCACCUUAAGCUAGAUGCAUGCAAUUGUAUUCUGACAUGCAAUUGUUACUCACCUUUGCUCGUCUCUCUGUUUUUUUCAAUUUGUCUGUUACCCUUACUCAUAUGCAUAUCCUAAUGAAAUUGCAUUGCAUCUGAUCCAUGGUCAUUCUGGAGGCACUUGCACAGGAGGCAUGUGGCUGCUGUCUGCAUCAAAAAGAAAGUCCGAGGUUUGGCCUCCGUGCUCCUGCUGCACUGGUAAGUAAUAUUCAUAAUAAUGACCAUAUUGUUACGUUUUUCUGUGUUGAGUUUAGAUCUACUACUAUGCUAUCUCGAUUGAUGCAUUAUCUUACUUUGUGACAAAUUUGUUGGACUUGUGUGUGAUACCUGUUGUGCUGAGAUAUUGUUAUUGAGAGGUCAAGUAUUACCUUUUAUAGCAGUAGAGGGACAUUUCAGAUGUGAUAUUAAUGAAUAGGGAAUAUAAUAGAAAACAAAUUGAUAGAUAUAUUGAUUUCACAUUUCUUGUCAGAUUGUUAAUGUAGGUUGUAGGCAUGGCUUAACUUUAUAUGAUCUCAUUACAUUGUAUCCAAUAUUUUUAAAAAGCAUGUUGGUGUCAAUAGCUCCAGAAAUAUAUGUUCAAUUUUUUCUUUGGAAAAAAGAUGCCUUGACUGCAGAAGUAUUCUAGAAAAACAAAGUACCGAACUUUUGAUUAAGUACACAUUUGGUUUGCUUUUGAAUAAUAAGGUUGACUAUUUUUAAAUUUGAUGAAAUUCCUAAUAAUUGACUGUUUACUUGGACAAGCAUUUCAUAAAAAUUCAGAGACAAUUUUGUUGAUAAAUCUUGUGAACUUGAGCACUGCAGCAUUUUAUUUACAUUUUUUUUGGGGGGGGGGGGGGGGGGGGCGCGGGGGUUGGUGGAGGAUGUGUGUGUGGGGGUUAUACAAGGUCUUAAUCUGUUUGUUCACUGUCAAAAAUCAGAGUUGCUAGCUAUACAUUUUCAUGGUUUAGUGUCGGUUCUUGUCUCAUACAGAAUACUGCCCAUGUCUACGUAGGCAGGGUUUGCUGCACCCAAUUCAUUGAAUUUCAGCUACUUAUCAAUGGCACAUAUCCUGUUGCCCGAUUAUAAAUUCUUUCUUUUUUAUUUGGAGGGAUAAAUACUUUGAACUGUUUAUUGGCAAGAUAUAUGUUGGCUUACCUGGUUCUUUAACCUCCUACGGUGUUCCUUAGCUUGUUAAAAUAUGUCAGGUUUGAACUUCUUUUCUGUUAAAGCUCAUCUGUUGAUCACGUCCAUAUCACUUUAAUACUCCAUUAUGUGAAAUUUAUGACUUGCCAUAUGUUGCUUGCUAUUUAGGAUCAUGAAUGGGUGUUAGCUUAUUGGUUCAAUGAGUUGGUUUUUGCUCCUCUGCUUAAUUGCACACUUCACUUAAUUGGUAGCGAACUAAUGUUAAUCAGGCUUCUUUGGAGGCCUACUGGCUUCUUGCCCAUCUUUUAUAUACAUCUGGCCAACAGCUGGAGGGAGCCGAAAGGGCUUACUCUUGCUUACAAUUAUAAUAUUGCAUUUGUAAUCUAAGCAGAAAUGUGUAUCUACCGAAUUGGUUGAAAUGAAGAGUGGAAAUGCUUUUUUACCGAAAUGUGUUCCAAUUUUA